UUUUUAAGAGAUAUUAAAAAAAAACUCGUUUGAUCAAAUAGUUACAAAAUAUUUUAAUGAGGUAGAUAUAUUAUAUUUUAUCAUUAUUAAAGUUAUUUGUUUUCUUAAUAUUAGAUUUGCUUUUAAAUUUGGGGAAAUUUUAUCUUUACACUUUGUUGGAUACCACUUUUCAACUUUAUCAUCAGUCUAAGGACAUUUUCAGAAAUACCACUUUCAUUAAUGAGAAAAAGACAAUAAUACCCUUACCUUAUCUUCUUCUCCACCAUCGGUUUCUCUCCCUCUCCCCAAGUCACCGUCGUCUCUCUCUCACCGUCGAGUCACCGUCGUCUCUCUCUCACCGUCGAGUUCCGGCGUCUCUCUCUCACCGUCGAGUUCUGGCGUCUCUCUCUCACCGUCGAUCUCUCUCUCACCGUCGAUCUCUCUCUCACCGUCGACUUCCGGCGACGAAAUCGAUUCAAAAUCUCCAAGAUGUCGACUCCUAUACAUGAUUCACAACUUGUAUGUCUCUAAUUUCUGUAAUUGUUUGUUCUAUAAUUUCUGUAUUUUUUGUUUGAUUCGAUUUUGUGCUUUCUCUUAUCGAAAAAUCAAACAAGGUUCUCUUAGAUAUCUCAUUUAAAGAGGUCGAUCUAAGAGAAACAGAUUUGAUAAUGAAACGUGAGAGUGAAAACAUUGAGUAUUUGAAAACUUAAAUCUGGUUUUGAAGUCAUAUUAAGAUUGAUCUGAAUGGUUCCGGCUAAGAAAGAGGUUUUCCGAUAGUCAAAACUGCAUAUUAAGGAAGAGAUAAUUUUCGAUAGUGAAAACUGAAUAUUAAGGGAUUAUAACCCCUUAUAAAUCUUGGUUUCAUGAGAUCGUUCAUAAAUAUAACUCAAUGAUUUAUAAGGAAUUAUAACCCCUUAUAAAUCUGGGUUUCAUGAUCUUAUUGAUAAAUACAAUUCAACUAUUUAUAAGGUCCUAUAAAGAAGUUUCUAAACAACAGUUUCAUCGUAUAUGUGUAUAAAACUUGUGAUAUUGUGGAAAUACAUGAACAUUGUGCUUGCCUUGGAUAAAGUAUCUAUAGUUCAUGAUUAGAAGUUCAUAUCAUCGUUUUAUAAAGUAAUAUACAUGAUAAUUUUUCUUUUGUUUUUUGUUUUCCAGUUGGAUAGCAAUGAGUUUUGCACAAAUUUGAGUUUGCCUCCUAGGAUUUAUGGAGCUGGAACAGAAUCACCAGACAAUCACAAAGUAAUCAUCCAACAUUCAAACAUGGAUUAUGUCUCUAAGGUUGCUGAUAUAUUGGAAAAAGAAGAGUUUGCCCAGAUAGAGAACUCACACAUUGGAAGCAUUGUGAAGCUGGCAAGAAGGACUAGCGUUCAGUUUUCAGAGGAUCUGUUCGAUUUUCUCAUGAAGCGAAGAAUAAUGACGAAAGGAACAGGUCUUUGGUUUACAUUCUCUGAUUAACGAAUGAGGUUUUCAAUGAGAGAAUUUCAUUUGACAACAGGGUUAGCUUGUGAGCAAGAUAAAACAGAAACAGAGCCACUGUUCAGACAAGUGAAGAAACCUUAUCUUUGGAUGCUAAGCAAGGGGGAACAGUAAGAAGCUUGUAUGAUCUGCUCAAAAAGAAAGCAAGAACAAUGACAAGACUAGAGAGACUAUCUAUAGGAAUAGCAAUAAUCAAAGAAGGGGUAAUUAUUGCAGAAAAUUCAAGCUCUCUAAUCCCAAAGGGAAGGUUGCUGGCUUAUAAGAACUAUGAUAGCUUGUCGAAGUUGGCUUGGGGUAAAGUUGCCUAUAAAGUUUUGUCCAAAAGUGUUAAACGUUUGAGUGCAAGUUCGUGGACAUGGGAGAGUUAUGAAGUGAGAGGUUUUGUGCUGGCCAUAAAUUUGUGGGCUAUGUCAUCAGUGCCUAUGCUUGGUAAAACUUUGGGAAAACCAUGCCAGGAAACCUCUUCUGCAGAUCCGUUAUGUCUACAUUGGGACUCAACAAGGGCUCCGACAAUUACUGAAGUUUUGGAGGUGGAGAACAAAAAUAAUGUGAGUUUUUACUAAAGUUUAAAAAUUUAUUCGUACUGUAUUGUUUAGAAAGAGGUUUAUAAACAUACUCCUUGAAAAAGGGUCACAAGCAGGCGCCUUGGUAAAAAAUGUGAACUGUUUAGACAUUUUAGAAUAUUUUUCAUUUUGUACUUUUUCUGUAACAUGUUGCUUGCAUCAUUCACACACUAGCCCUUAACAUUCACAUUAGAUUAUUGAGAAUGGUCGCUCUGUUUCUUCUUGGCUUGUGUUUUGUGUGUGAACUCGCAUGUUUCACUUCUCUUAACACCUUGCUUGUGUCAUGCCCUCAUUAGCUCCUACCAUUCACAUGAAAUUACUAAGUUAACUAUAUUGUUUCAUAAUGGUUUGUAAAUAGGAUAUUUACAGAGACCUAUAAAACAUUGUUUUAUCCUUACAGGGUGUGGUUACUACAGUGUUUGGAUUCUCUGAGAAAUUCAAACAUUUGGUGAACCCAACACAUCCUGAUGAUAAGGACUUUGACAGUGUCGUACAACUAGUUCAACAAGGAUACAAAGUGACGAAAAGUGAUUGGGAACAAGGAUUUUGGAUGUUUUUCUUACAACAGAAGACAUUGGUCGACAAAGCAGGACAGAAGACAAAGAUGUACAGCAAAAAUUCUAAGGAGCAAGCACAAGAUGAAGAAGAACAACAAGUGGAAGCUGAUGCUGAAUUCGGCGACGGUGAUAAAGAAAGAGAAACAUCAAAAUCAAUGAAGGGCAGACACUUGAGGAAGAAGAAGAACAAAUGGAAGCUGAUACAGAAGAUGAGGAGCCCGUGCAAGUUGAAAGGCAGAAACGAGGAAGAGUAAAUAAGGUAAAUAACUCUCUUUGUAAUGGUUUAUAAAUGUUAUUUUCUGAUUGUGUUAUCAAAAUUGAAUGAUGAAUAUGUUUAUAUAGCCAUCAUAAUACUGUUUAGGAACAAGAGCAUAAGAAGAAUGAAGAGAAAAGAAAAGAUGAAGCGUAUGAGAAAGCUAAGGAGAAAUUUCAAGAUAAGAUGGUUCCAAACUCGAUAAGUUAAUCCAAAUGCUUUAUGAUUUGAAUAAACCAAUAGAAGUAAUCGAGAAUGUCUUAGGAGUGGUAAGCAAAUAACUUUACCAAGCGCUUAUAAAUAUUCCGGCAGAGGAGUGGUGGGAAAAACGAGGGAGAGAUUCUAGCCUCGACGGUGAACGUGGCCUAGGCCUUAUGGUUACGGAUUUUCUCGAGACGGGAGGUGGUGGAAGCGGUGGUGGUGGUGUGAUUUGUGGUGUAGCAGCGAUAGCGAUUCUGAAUUUCCGAAUCCUUCUUACCUUUCUGAUAAGAUUCAGGUACCUUAGGGCGAUUUGGUUGAUUUUAUUGGUGUUAGUAUACGAAUUGGGAUCGUUUAGUUGAUGAGGUUCCUUAUGAUCAUGUUGAAGGGUAGAGGAUCGCGAUGCGAUGGAAAUGGUAGACUGGAUAAUAUUUUGUAGUGCUUGGACAUAUGGUUUAGUAUGAUGCCUUUAGCUUGCUAUAGAUUGUUGGUUCUUGAUUAUUGAAGAAAACAUCCAAGUAUAUGCCUUAUGCUGCUGCUUAUAAUGUUCUCCUUUCCAUUUCGGAAUAAAAGUACAGCAAAAAAACAUCAUUGAUUUUGUUUGAAUGAUAUCUGUACAUGCAACUCUGCUGCUGUCAGUGUGCUCUCUUCUGCUGCUUAUAAUGUUCUUGCAACUCAACACCCCUUUGUGGCUGAGGAUUUCCUCACAAUUUUAAGGCUCAUCAAAAUGGUGUAUGAUCACCUUUGUAGCCAAGUUUCUUGCUGCUCUUUAUGCCUUUAUUGCUGCAGCAUGUUCGGGUAGCAGUUCACCGAGUGUCUCCUCUGAUACCCGUGGCUUCAUCUCACCAAUUAGCACUUAUGAUGUUUCAAUUUUAAGUUGCUUAAGUGUUUUAUUUUCCGUUAUCUGUGUUUAUGUUAUCUGCUUAGCCUUUGAUGCAGCAGUUUCCUUGUCAUUUUGGCUGUGUUAUUAUGUUUGCUAAACAAUGUCUCCAUUGAUGGAGCUUGAGUUUUAUUUAUAAAAUUUGGUUUGAUCAAAAAGAAAACAAGUAUAUCUGGAAAGCUUUCUAAAUUUCUUAUUAAAGUAUAAUUCAUUUAUAAGAGUUU